GGGGAAUAUUGGACAAUGGGGGCAACCCUGAUCCAGCAAUGCCGCGUGUGUGAAGAAGGUCUUCGGAUUGUAAAGCACUUUCGACGGGGACGAUGAUGACGGUACCCGUAGAAGAAGCCCCGGCUAACUUCGUGCCAGCAGCCGCGGUAAUACGAAGGGGGCUAGCGUUGCUCGGAAUGACUGGGCGUAAAGGGCGUGUAGGCGGUUUACACAGUCAGAUGUGAAAUCCCCGGGCUUAACCUGGGAGCUGCAUUUGAUACGUGUAGACUAGAGUGUGAGAGAGGGUUGUGGAAUUCCCAGUGUAGAGGUGAAAUUCGUAGAUAUUGGGAAGAACACCGGUGGCGAAGGCGGCAACCUGGCUCAUGACUGACGCUGAGGCGCGAAGGCGUGGGGAGCAAACAGG
rnacentral:rRNA from 1 species